rnacentral:rRNA from 2 species
GGAUUCGAUCAUACCAGCACUAAAGCACCGGAUCCCAUCAGAAUUCCGAAGUUAAGCGUGCUUGGGUGAGAGUAGUACUAGGAUGGGUGACCUCCUGGGAAGUCCUCGUGUUGCAUUCC